GGAAGGCCCCUUCGGGGGUACUCGAGCGGCGAACGGGUGAGUAACACGUGAGCAACCUGCCCCUGACUCUGGAAUAAGCCUGGGAAACCGGGUCUAAUACCGGAUAUGACUACUGCCCGCAUGGGUUGGUGGUGGAAAGUUUUUCGGUUGGGGAUGGGCUCGCGGCCUAUCAGCUUGUUGGUGGGGUGAUGGCCUACCAAGGCGACGACGGGUAACCGGCCUGAGAGGGCGACCGGUCACACUGGGACUGAGACACGGCCCAGACUCCUACGGGAGGCAGCAGUGGGGAAUAUUGCGCAAUGGGCGGAAGCCUGACGCAGCGACGCCGCGUGGGGGAUGACGGCCUUCGGGUUGUAAACCUCUUUCAGCACCGACGAAGCCUUUUGGGGUGACGGUAGGUGCAGAAGAAGCGCCGGCUAACUACGUGCCAGCAGCCGCGGUAAUACGUAGGGCGCAAGCGUUGUCCGGAAUUAUUGGGCGUAAAGAGCUCGUAGGCGGUUUGUCGCGUCUGUCGUGAAAGCCCACGGCUUAACCGUGGGUCUGCGGUGGAUACGGGCAGGCUAGAGGCAGGUAGGGGAGAACGGAAUUCCCGGUGUAGCGGUGAAAUGCGCAGAUAUCGGGAGGAACACCGGUGGCGAAGGCGGUUCUCUGGGCCUGUACUGACGCUGAGGAGCGAAAGCGUGGGGAGCGAACAGGAUUAGAUACCCUGGUAGUCCACGCCGUAAACGUUGGGCGCUAGGUGUGGGGUCCUUCCACGGAUUCCGCGCCGC
rnacentral:rRNA from 1 species